rnacentral:rRNA from 1 species
UGAGGAAUAUUGGUCAAUGGGCGAGAGCCUGAACCAGCCAAGUCGCGUGAGGGAAGACGGCCCUAAGGGUUGUAAACCUCUUUUGUCGGGGAGCAAAGCGGACCACGUGUGGUCUGAAGGAGAGUACCCGAAGAAAAAGCAUCGGCUAACUCCGUGCCAGCAGCCGCGGUAAUACGGAGGAUGCGAGCGUUAUCCGGAUUUAUUGGGUUUAAAGGGUGCGCAGGCGGAGAGUCAAGCCGGCGGUAAAAUUGCGGGGCCCAACCCCGUACCGCCGUCGGAACUGGCUCCCUUGAGUGGAUGAGAAGUAAGCGGAAUGCGUGGUGUAGCGGUGAAAUGCAUAGAUAUCACGCAGAACGCCGAUUGCGAAGGCAGCUUACCGGCAUCCAACUGACGCUCAGGCACGAAAGCGUGGGGAUCGAACAGG